GUGGAUCGAGAAAAUGGACAAAGUUUUGCAUCACAGUAUGGCCUGUGUGUGCAUGUCGUAUAUGGAUCUGCAUUUAAUACCAUCCUUUCUUUUCAGACAGAAGGUGUCCUGAGAAAUUCUCCACAGAAAUGAUUCCACCAUGAAAACCAGUAAAUUUUAUGCCAGAUCAUCUAAGCUGCUUACAAAAUGAGAAAUGUCUGGAAAGCAAUAUUUGGUGGGUGACAAGAUGGGCCCAUUAUCCAGAGCCUUGAUACAACAAUGGAAAUGAAUAGCAGAAAGGAAUGUUGAUUUCAGAGCUCCUGAAAAAGGAUCAGAAGAUCCGAAACGUUGAGCUUUUUUAUACAUUAAG